CACCCCGCGCUCCCCGCCGGAAAGCAGCCCAUUACGGGCGAGGACAACUUCCCCCAGCAAGAAAAUUAACACAUUCUUCUCGCGGCGGUUCGGCCCCCCGCUCUGGGGAAGAAGAGAGGAGGGGGCUCGGGGCCAAACUUCACGGGUAAAUUUGGGGCCAGAGCAACGAAGCAGGCGCCUGGGACACCCGCCUCCCACAGCUCCGCAGCUAGAGGAACACCCCCAUUCUCCCUCCCUGGCUUUGCAUGCUGCUUGGCCACGCGGGGCUCAGGAGACAGCCUGAAAGACUCCCUAAGGCUAGGGAGGAAGGGAGAAAGAGGCCGCGGAGAGCAGUGGUGGUCGGGGGUGAUACUUUGACGGAAAAAAAAAAAAAGGUCAAACUUGGUCAGCCCGCCAGGCACCCCGCGGGCAGCGGGGGCGAGGAGCCUCAGGGGAAAUGUAGAAGUGGCCACCGCCCCCUCCAAGUGGAGGGGGAGACUCAGCCACGCGUCGUCCUGGGCGUUAGAGCAGUAAUGCCCCCAAAACACAGGGCUGCGAAUGGGGUCUGUUGGGGGGAGUGCGCGCCGGAGAUCUCCAAUCAGCCGCCCCCGCAGGCGGAGCGCCCGCCCAACACCGAGAGUGAUCUGCGACCGAGCUGACUGCGGCUUGGGGAGGCUUGAGUAUAGAAGAGGCCAUCGAGCAAUCACCGGAGCUAGGGAUCCCAGCCUCCGGGGCUCCGAGGCUCAGACUACGGGCGCCCCCCGCCACACCCAAACACGGACCCCUCUUUUCCCGUCCCUGGCUCUCCGCACCUGAACUUCGGGGGAGCCCGCGCCGCCAAACUUUCCGCAGACUUGCAGCGAACUCCGGCCCCGGCCGCGCACCGGGCCCCGGGGGAGGAGAGGGAGGCUGCUGGCCCCGGCCAGGAUCCUGAAUGGCUUUUUAGCACGCUCUAAGUUCUACAUUUGGGAGCUACCAGAUGACAAACCUGACUGGCUGAAAGCCGGACUGGCCUUGGGUACCUCCAUCUUCUUGUGGAUCUAUCUCAUCAAACAUAAUGAAGAUAUUUUAGAAUAUAAAAGAAGAAAUGGGUUGGAAUAAACUUUUGAUAUACUAAUACAGUAUGUCCCAUAUAGUGAUUAUAACUGUUCCUCUGGAUUUACCAAUCUGUUGAGUUAUAAACAUAAGAGAAAAAGUUUUACGUGAUAUUACGUUGAGUCAGCAUUUGUGCUUUGCUUAAAUGGGAAAAAAAAAAUCUGCUUUCUCUACCAUCACAAUCACCAGAAUAACCCAUCACGUGAAAUAAAGACUGUUUCACAAAG